UUUUGUGAAGGGUGGAGACAUGCGAGAGAUACGCAAUGUUUUCCUGACCCUUAUGCGCAUGUGUGAGUUGUGAGAGAAAAAUCUGGGGACUGUGCCUAGGUACCAGGGAGGAAG
rnacentral:lncRNA from 1 species